rnacentral:rRNA from 1 species
GGGUUGUGAGGUUAAGCGACUAAGCGUACACGGUGGAUGCCCUGGCAGUCAGAGGCGAUGAAGGACGUGCUAAUCUGCGAUAAGCGUCGGUAAGGUGAUAUGAACCGUUAUAACCGGCGAUUUCCGAAUGGGGAAACCCAGUGUGAUUCGUCACACUAUCAUUAACUGAAUCCAUAGGUUAAUGAGGCGAACCGGGGGAACUGAAACAUCUAAGUACCCCGAGGAAAAGAAAUCAACCGAGAUUCCCCCAGUAGCGGCGAGCGAACGGGGAGCAGCCCAGAGCCUGAAUCAGUGUGUGUGUUAGUGGAAGCGUCUGGAAAGGCGCGCGAUACAGGGUGACAGCCCCGUACACAAAAAUGCACAUGCUGUGAGCUCGAUGAGUAGGGCGGGACACGUGGUAUCCUGUCUGAAUAUGGGGGGACCAUCCUCCAAGGCUAAAUACUCCUGACUGACCGAUAGUGAACCAGUACCGUGAGGGAAAGGCGAAAAGAACCCCGGCGAGGGGAGUGAAAAAGAACCUGAAACCGUGUACGUACAAGCAGUGGGAGCACGCUUAGGCGUGUGACUGCGUACCUUUUGUAUAAUGGGUCAGCGACUUAUAUUCUGUAGCAAGGUUAACCGAAUAGGGGAGCCGAAGGGAAACCGAGUCUUAACUGGGCGUUAAGUUGCAGGGUAUAGACCCGAAACCCGGUGAUCUAGCCAUGGGCAGGUUGAAGGUUGGGUAACACUAACUGGAGGACCGAACCGACUAAUGUUGAAAAAUUAGCGGAUGACUUGUGGCUGGGGGUGAAAGGCCAAUCAAACCGGGAGAUAGCUGGUUCUCCCCGAAAGCUAUUUAGGUAGCGCCUCGUGAAUUCAUCUCCGGGGGUAGAGCACUGUUUCGGCAAGGGGGUCAUCCCGACUUACCAACCCGAUGCAAACUGCGAAUACCGGAGAAUGUUAUCACGGGAGACACACGGCGGGUGCUAACGUCCGUCGUGAAGAGGGAAACAACCCAGACCGCCAGCUAAGGUCCCAAAGUCAUGGUUAAGUGGGAAACGAUGUGGGAAGGCCCAGACAGCCAGGAUGUUGGCUUAGAAGCAGCCAUCAUUUAAAGAAAGCGUAAUAGCUCACUGGUCGAGUCGGCCUGCGCGGAAGAUGUAACGGGGCUAAACCAUGCACCGAAGCUGCGGCAGCGACGCUUAUGCGUUGUUGGGUAGGGGAGCGUUCUGUAAGCCUGCGAAGGUGUGCUGUGAGGCAUGCUGGAGGUAUCAGAAGUGCGAAUGCUGACAUAAGUAACGAUAAAGCGGGUGAAAAGCCCGCUCGCCGGAAGACCAAGGGUUCCUGUCCAACGUUAAUCGGGGCAGGGUGAGUCGACCCCUAAGGCGAGGCCGAAAGGCGUAGUCGAUGGGAAACAGGUUAAUAUUCCUGUACUUGGUGUUACUGCGAAGGGGGGACGGAGAAGGCUAUGUUGGCCGGGCGACGGUUGUCCCGGUUUAAGCGUGUAGGCUGGUUUUCCAGGCAAAUCCGGAAAAUCAAGGCUGAGGCGUGAUGACGAGGCACUACGGUGCUGAAGCAACAAAUGCCCUGCUUCCAGGAAAAGCCUCUAAGCAUCAGGUAACAUCAAAUCGUACCCCAAACCGACACAGGUGGUCAGGUAGAGAAUACCAAGGCGCUUGAGAGAACUCGGGUGAAGGAACUAGGCAAAAUGGUGCCGUAACUUCGGGAGAAGGCACGCUGAUAUGUAGGUGAAGCGACUUGCUCGUGGAGCUGAAAUCAGUCGAAGAUACCAGCUGGCUGCAACUGUUUAUUAAAAACACAGCACUGUGCAAACACGAAAGUGGACGUAUACGGUGUGACGCCUGCCCGGUGCCGGAAGGUUAAUUGAUGGGGUCAGCGCAAGCGAAGCUCUUGAUCGAAGCCCCGGUAAACGGCGGCCGUAACUAUAACGGUCCUAAGGUAGCGAAAUUCCUUGUCGGGUAAGUUCCGACCUGCACGAAUGGCGUAAUGAUGGCCAGGCUGUCUCCACCCGAGACUCAGUGAAAUUGAACUCGCUGUGAAGAUGCAGUGUACCCGCGGCAAGACGGAAAGACCCCGUGAACCUUUACUAUAGCUUGACACUGAACAUUGAGCCUUGAUGUGUAGGAUAGGUGGGAGGCUUUGAAGUGUGGACGCCAGUCUGCAUGGAGCCGACCUUGAAAUACCACCCUUUAAUGUUUGAUGUUCUAACGUUGACCCGUAAUCCGGGUUGCGGACAGUGUCUGGUGGGUAGUUUGACUGGGGCGGUCUCCUCCUAAAGAGUAACGGAGGAGCACGAAGGUUGGCUAAUCCUGGUCGGACAUCAGGAGGUUAGUGCAAUGGCAUAAGCCAGCUUGACUGCGAGCGUGACGGCGCGAGCAGGUGCGAAAGCAGGUCAUAGUGAUCCGGUGGUUCUGAAUGGAAGGGCCAUCGCUCAACGGAUAAAAGGUACUCCGGGGAUAACAGGCUGAUACCGCCCAAGAGUUCAUAUCGACGGCGGUGUUUGGCACCUCGAUGUCGGCUCAUCACAUCCUGGGGCUGAAGUAGGUCCCAAGGGUAUGGCUGUUCGCCAUUUAAAGUGGUACGCGAGCUGGGUUUAGAACGUCGUGAGACAGUUCGGUCCCUAUCUGCCGUGGGCGCUGGAGAACUGAGGGGGGCUGCUCCUAGUACGAGAGGACCGGAGUGGACGCAUCACUGGUGUUCGGGUUGUCAUGCCAAUGGCACUGCCCGGUAGCUAAAUGCGGAAGAGAUAAGUGCUGAAAGCAUCUAAGCACGAAACUUGCCCCGAGAUGAGUUCUCCCUGAGACUUUAAGUCUCCUGAAGGAACGUUGAAGACGACGACGUUGAUAGGCCGGGUGUGUAAGCGCAGCGAUGCGUUGAGCUAACCGGUACUAAUGAACCGUGAGGCUUAACCUUACAACGCCGAAG